GUUGUGGUAUCAGCAAUAUUUUCACAGUUGCUGCUUCGAGGAAAAAUGUCGCAGGAUUAUACUCUGAUGGUGGUGCUAGUGAUCCUGGCUUCGACGUCCUGUGUGAAUGCCUCGACAUCACCUGGGACAAUGACAGAUACGUCUUCGACGACAUCUGAUACACCAACAUCUACUG